rnacentral:tRNA from 1 species
GCGAGGAUGGCGGAAUUGGCAGACGCGCCAGACUUAGGAUCUGGUCCAUUCCGGGUGUGGGUUCAAGUCCCUCUCCUCGCACCA